CGGGUGAGUAACACGUGAGUAACCUGCCUUACACAAGGGGAUAGCCGUUGGAAACGACGAAUAAUACCCUAUGAAACUAUCACUUCGCAUGAAGCGAUAGUCAAAGUGUUAGCGGUGUAAGAUGGACUUGCGUCUGAUUAGCUAGUUGGUGAGAAAAAAGCCCACCAAGGCAACGAUCAGUAGCCGGCUUGAGAGAGUGUACGGCCACAUUGGGACUGAGACACGGCCCAG
rnacentral:rRNA from 1 species